UGGAAGGAAAGCAGUCUCUGCAUAUGAAGGCAACAUUCAGAUACAGGGACCUUCCUAUUUCUAUGUUCCCAUUAAUACAGGUGUAAAAGCAAUAAUACAUUUUGUCUGACUUUUUAAUUCUCAGAAUUCAAUGUUAAAUAUGAAGCAAACUCAGAAACUUGUACAUAUUCCACACUGAUUUCACUUUGGGCCGUGAAGAAUUCCCUCAUUCAGCACCCACCAUGACCUACAGAACUGAGAUGACUAAGGUUAAGGCUGUACCUUCUAAGACAAGGAGACGUUUCUUUGCUCCAGCAGAACGUUCCAUUUCUUAUGGUGAUACUUGCAUGUACUAAAAUAUGAGGAGAAGAAGAACACUUGUGAAAUUCAAAGGCACCACUGAAUAAUGGACACUACUCCUCUUGUAAGACAAUACUAAGACAGAAGCUCACCACAGUCAGAAGUGUUUCUUUUUGAGCUCUCAGGAUUCAGUUCUUCCAGAUUCAGAAAAGCUGCUAAGCGGUU